GAUGAACGCUGGCGGCGUGCCUAAUACAUGCAAGUCGAGCGAACGGACGAGGAGCUUGCUUUUCUGAUGUUAGCGGCGGACGGGUGAGUAACACGUGGAUAACCUACCUAUAAGACUGGGAUAACUUCGGGAAACCGGAGCUAAUACCGGAUAAUAUUUUGAACCGCAUUGUUCAAAAGUGAAAGACGGUCUUGCUGGCACGUAUAGAUGGAUCCGCGCUGCAUGAGCUAGUUGGUAAGGUAACGGCCUACCAAGGCAACGAGGCAUAGCCGACCUGAGAGGGUGAUCGGCCACACUGGAGCUGAGACACGGUCCAGACUCCUAAGGGAGGCAGCAGUAGGGAAUCUUCCGCAAUGGGCGAAAGCCUGACGGAGCAACGCCGAGUGAGUGAUGAAGGUCUUCGGAUCGUAAAACUCUGUUAUUAGGGAAGAACAGAUGUGUAAGUAACUGUACACAUCUUGACGGUAACUAAUCAGAAAGCCACGGCUAACUACGUG
rnacentral:rRNA from 1 species